rnacentral:rRNA from 1 species
UACGAAGGGGGCUAGCGUUAUUCGGAAUUACUGGGCGUAAAGCGCACGUAGGCGGAUACUUGAAGUCAGGGGUGAAAUCCCGGGGCUCAACCCCGGAACUGCCUUUGAUACUGAGGAUCUUGAGUUCGGGAGAGGUGAGUGGAACUGCGAGUGUAGAGGUGAAAUUCGUAGAUAUUCGCAAGAACACCAGUGGCGAAGGCGGCUC